ACCGUUUAGUUAGAUAUAAAUGGGUGAAAAAGGAAGGAAAAAAGGCUCAGAUAGUCAAUUUGUGAAGUGUUCGAUCAGGAAGAAUACCUGGUUUGAAAAAAAGUCAUUUGAGUAUGAUUGAUAUUUUGAUUUUAACGUGGCUCUGGGUGUACGAAGCGAACUCGAAAAUCAUGCCCAUAAUACCCUGUUCCAAGAGCUGCGUUUUGAAGACAGGGUGGAAUUUGGAAAGUAUUUGCGAAUGAUGCCGUGCGAUUUUGAUUAUUUAUUAAACUUAGUGAGCAGCAAAAUUAAAAAACAGGAUACGAUUAUACGUUGAGCAAUUUCACCAUCUGAGAGGCUGCAUGUAGCUUUCUAGCUGGUGGGUGUUCCUAUUCAAAUUUACAGUAUUUGUUUAGAAUACCUAAACAAACAUUGUCAAGAGUGAUACCAGAAGUAUUGGAUGCUUUAUGAGAAUGCAUGCAAGAUUAC